CAGUAGCCGCGGUAAUACGUAGGGUGCGAGCGUUAAUCGGAAUUACUGGGCGUAAAGCGUGCGCAGGCGGUUUUGUAAGACAGGCGUGAAAUCCCCGGGCUCAACCUGGGAAUGGCGCUUGUGACUGCAAAGCUAGAGUGCGGCAGAGGGGGAUGGAAUUCCGCGUGUAGCAGUGAAAUGCGUAGAUAUGCGGAGGAACACCGAUGGCGAAGGCAGCCCCCUGGGCCAAUACUGACGCUCAUGCACGAAAGCGUGGGGAGCAAACAGGAUUAGAUACCCGCGUAGUCCCUGUCUCUUAUAC
rnacentral:rRNA from 1 species